UCCGUUCGGCGGAAGCGUCGUUC
rnacentral:snRNA from 1 species